rnacentral:rRNA from 1 species
GACGAACGCUGGCGGCGUGCUUAACACAUGCAAGUCGAACGGAAAGGCCCUGCUUGCAGGGUACUCGAGUGGCGAACGGGUGAGUAACACGUGGGUGAUCUGCCCUGCACUUCGGGAUAAGCCUGGGAAACUGGGUCUAAUACCGGAUAGGAGCCAUUUUUAGUGUGAUGGUUGGAAAGUUUUUUCGGUGUAGGAUGAGCUCGCGGCCUAUCAGCUUGUUGGUGGGGUAAUGGCCUACCAAGGCGGCGACGGGUAGCCGGCCUGAGAGGGUGGACGGCCACAGUGGGACUGGGAUACGGCCCAGACUCCUACGGGAGGCAGCAGUGGGGAAUAUUGCACAAUGGGCGCAAGCCUGAUGCAGCGACGCCGCGUGGGGGAUGACGGCCUUCGGGUUGGAAACUCCUUUCGCUAGGGACGAAGCUUUUUGUGGCGGUACCUAGAUAAGAAGCACCGGCUAACUACGUG